rnacentral:lncRNA from 13 species
CACGUAUUUCUGUGUUCAUUGACAUGAUAUUAUUCAGAAUUUUGGUUACUGAAAUGCGUUUUAUUUAAGAAUAUGGAGUUUAAGUAAUUCAGUGAGUCUUUUUAUCUUUUGAUAGCUAGGAAAUGGAAUGUGUCAGUCCUCACCAGUGAUGUGCCAUCUGCAGGAACAAGCUCAGAGGUUUAUAUUACAUUGUAUGGGGAUCGUGGCAGUUCGGGUCCUAUUUGGCUUGAUGGAGAGAAGGGAAAAUUAUUUCAGAGAGGCAAUGAAGACAUCUUCACAAUCAAUACUAGAAGCAUAAGACAUCUCUACAAAAUAUGUGUAGGACAUACAAAUGCAGGAAGCUCCCCUGCCUGGCACUGUGAAGAGAUUGCAGAACCUUUUCUCAGGGGAGCAGUUCUCUUUCCCUGCACAUCGAUGGCUGGCCAAAGACCAGGCUGGUGGGGAAAUAUCUGUGGAGCUUCCUGUUUUACAGCAGGGUCAGCCUAUUCUUCCAGGUAAGCACAAUACCACAUCAGCAAAGUCAGACCCCAGACUGAUGUCGAUAGAGGUGAGUUCAUCGUUUUUCAUCAGGCCCUUUAUUACUUUUUGGCUGCUACAACACUUUUUCUGCUUUGUUUUCCUCUUGUUACUGUGCAUACUCAGGUAA